rnacentral:sRNA from 1 species
GCGAGACAACGUUGCUUUAGCAACGGCCCGUAGGGCGAGGCGUAAGCCGAGUCAUCUUCCUGGGUGCACCA